AAACCGUUCGGGGGUAAACGGACAGAGCCCGUGAAUCCGGGCGACGGAAUUCAGAAUCGACGACGUUGCGUCGUCGGUUUGAUAUUUCCGUCGCCGUACGGACGUCGCGACCCGUUCGGUGUCGGUCCGAGGAGACGUGUUCGCCGACGUCGUCCAUCGCGUCGACGAGUGCGCGUUCUUGUUUUCUGGCCGACUCGCCGGACGGUACGUUAACGGUGGCCGCGGCGACCUAGCGUCGUCGGUACCGGUCUGCGACGAAUCUUCGGGCCUCUUUCCGA
rnacentral:rRNA from 1 species